AUCGCUGCUAAUCUAUCGCUGCUGCCAAUCUAUCUAUCACUGCUAAUCUAUCGCUGCCAACCUAUCUACUGCAGUGAAUCUAUCUAUCACUAUCAUUACUAGUUCAAAAUAGAACUAGAGCAUAAAUACACUAAACUUCUUUUGAUAGGUAAUGAUUUUUGGUAAUGCUCAUAGCAUGAUAUCAUCUAUAUAGGGUAAAUCAUGUGAAAUGGGACCAAAUGGGACCAGAAUCAGUAAUUUAUAAGAAGAACAUGACCUGGGACUAGAUUUAUAAUAUAAACAGUGUAAAGUGACUAAUUUAAUAAACACUAUAUGAGACCAGGAC
rnacentral:sRNA from 1 species